rnacentral:sRNA from 1 species
AGUAUAUUACUAAACUUUUCAACUACCACAAAGUUCUUCCUAUGAAUACAGGAGUGGAGGCUGGAGAGACUGCCUGUAAACUAGCUCGUAAGUGGGGCUAUACCGUGAAGGGCAUUCAGAAAUACAAAGCAAAGAUUGUUUUUGCAGGACAACAUAACUGUCUCUUGCAAACAAAAAUGGUGUUUCUGGUGAUUUUCAUUCUUAUAGACUGUGUCCAGUCUCUUUCUUAAUAGCAAAGGGUGCAAAGAUGUUUUCACCUGAGUAUUGAAAGAAGCUGGUGAGUCAGUGGGGUGGAGAGACAGAGGAAGACUGUCCCUAACUCUGGGAACUUCUGGGGUAGGACGUUGUCUGCUAUCUCCAGUUCCACAGACCCAACCAGUUACGAUGGUUUUGGACCAUUUAUGCCGGGAUUCGACAUCAUUCCCUAUAAUGAUCUGCCUGCACUGGAGCGUGCUCUUCAGGAUCCAAAUGUGGCUGCGUUCAUGGUAGAACCAAUUCAGGGUGAAGCAGGCGUUGUUGUUCCGGAUCCAGGUUACCUAAUGGGAGUGCGAGAGCUCUGCACCAGGCACCAGGUUCUGUUUAUUGCUGAUGAAAUACAGACAGGAUUGGCCAGAACUGGUAGAUGGCUGGCUGUUGAUUAUGAAAAUGUCAGACCUGAUAUAGUCCUCCUUGGAAAGGCCCUUUCUGGGGGCUUAUACCCUGUGUCUGCAGUGCUGUGUGAUGAUGACAUCAUGCUGACCAUUAAGCCAGGGGAGCAUGGGUCCACAUACGGUGGCAAUCCACUAGGCUGCCGAGUGGCCAUCGCAGCCC